GGCCGAGUAGCUCAGUUGGUUAGAGCAUUGUUCUGAAACGCCAAUGUUGAGGGUUCGAUCCCCACUCAGGCCA
rfam:Myotis davidii contig46864, whole genome shotgun sequence.